GAUCAUGGCUCAGAUUGAACGCUGGCGGCAUGCCUAACACAUGCAAGUCGAACGGCAGCACAGCAGUAGCAAUACUGUGGGUGGCGAGUGGCGGACGGGUGAGGAAUACGUCGGAAUCUGCCCAGUCGUGGGGGAUAACUAGCCGAAAGGUUAGCUAAUACCGCAUACGACCGAGAGGUGAAGCGGGGGACCGCAAGGCCUCGCGCGAUUGGAUGAGCCGACGUCGGAUUAGCUAGUUGGCGGGGUAAAGGCCCACCAAGGCGACGAUCUGUAGCUGGUCUGAGAGGACGACCAGCCACACUGGAACUGAGACACGGUCCAGACUCCUACGGGAGGCAGCAGUGGGGAAUUUUGGACAAUGGGCGCAAGCCUGAUCCAGCCAUUCCGCGUGCAGGAUGAAGGCCUUCGGGUUGUAAACUGCUUUUGUACGGAACGAAACGGCGAGCUCUAAUACAGUUUGCUAAUGACGGUACCGUAAGAAUAAGCACCGGCUAACUACGUG
rnacentral:rRNA from 1 species